rnacentral:rRNA from 1 species
UGAGUAACGCGUGAGGAACCUGCCUUCCAGAGGGGGACAACAGUUGGAAACGACUGCUAAUACCGCAUGACACAUGACCGUGGCAUCACGGACAUGUCAAAGAUUUAUCGCUGGAAGAUGGCCUCGCGUCUGAUUAGCUAGUAGGCGGGGUAACGGCCCACCUAGGCGACGAUCAGUAGCCGGACUGAGAGGUUGACCGGCCACAUUGGGACUGAGAUACGGCCCAGACUCCUACGGAAGGCAGCAG